UGCGCGGGCCUANCAUGCAAGUCGAACGAGAAAGCACCUGGCUUGCAGGAGCGAGUAAAGUGGCGCACGGGUGAGUAACGCGUGGCUAAUCUGCCUUUGAGUGGGGAAUAACGUGUCGAAAGACGCACUAAUACCGCAUAAGACCACAGUAUUUGCGGAUACAGGGGUCAAAGGGGGCUUUUGCUCUCGCUUGAAGAUGAGGCCGCGUCCCAUUAGCUUGUUGGUGAGGUAACGGCUCACCAAGGCCGCGAUGGGUAGCUGAUUUGAGAGAAUGAUCAGCCACACUGGAACUGAAACACGGUCCAGACUCCUACGGGAGGCAGCAGUGAGGAAUAUUGCGCAAUGGGGGAAACCCUGACGCAGCCACGCCGCGUGGGUGACGAAGGCCUUCGGGUCGUAAAGCCCUGUCAGAUGGAAAGAAACCCCCAUGGGCUAAUACCCCAUGGGAUUGACGGUACCAUCAAAGGAAGCACCGGCUAACUCCGUGCCAGCAGCCGCGGUAAUACGGGGGGUGCAAGCGUUGUUCGGAAUUACUGGGCGUAAAGGGCGCGUAGGCGGCUUGGUCAGUCAGACGUGAAAGCCCUCGGCUUAACCGGGGAAGUGCGUUUGAUACUACCAAGCUUGAGUUCUGGAGAGGGUUGUGGAAUUCCUGGUGUAGAGGUGAAAUUCGUAGAUAUCAGGAGGAACACCUGUGGCGAAGGCGACAACCUGGACAGUGACUGACGCUGAUGCGCGAAAGCGUGGGUAGCAAACAGGAUUAGAUACCCUGGUAGUCCACGCUGUAAACGGUGUUCACUAGGCGUAGCGGGUAUUGACCCCUGCUGUGCCGCAGCUAACGCAUUAAGUGAACCGCCUGGGGNACUACGGCCGCAAGGCUAAAACUCAAAGAAAUUGACGGGGGCCCNCACAAGCGGUGGANCCAUGUGGUUUANUUCGACNCCAACCCGAANAACCUUACNUGGGUUUGACAUUCCCCUGNACUUCCUAUGAAAANGUAGGGCUUUCCNCUUCCGGUGGCCAGGGAAAACANGGUGCUUGCAUGGNCUUUUCCUUCNACCUCCUUGUCNUGAAAAUUUUUGGGGUUUAAGUCCCCCCCAAACNAAGGCCCAACCCCCNUAUNGGGUUAGUU
rnacentral:rRNA from 1 species